AGCGGCAGCCACGAGCAGGGCGCCGUCCAGGCCCGCGCCGCCGGCCGCCAGCAGCUCCAGCACCGCCAGCCGCCCGCCCGCGGCCGCCCAGUGCGCCGCCGUCCAGCCGCGCGCGUCCUCCGCCUCCGCUGCCGCGGGUCCCGGGCCCGGAGCCUCCAGCAGGCGCGCGGCCAGCAGCGUGUGGCCCAGGGCAGCGGCCCAGUGCAGCGGCGUGAGGCCCGUCCCGGAGCGAGCCGCCGCCGAGGCCCCGCGCUGCAGCAGCAGCUCGGCCACCCGCGAGUGUCCGUGCCAGGCGGCCUCGUGCAGCGCGGUGCGCCCCGCCCGGUCCACCGCGCCCACCGGGGCCCCUCGCUGCAGCAGGAGACGCACCAGGGGCGCGUGGCCCCGCAGCACGGCCAGUACCUGGGGCCAGGCAGGAGAAGGGAGCAUGGCUCUUUGGGGUGGCUGCAGCAGCCUGGCCCCUCCAGCGGCUGCACGGGAAAGAAGGAAAGCUCCGUAAGGCUGACCGGGAAAGAAGCGAGGAGCUCUGGGGGCUGGGUGGAAAGUCCCGUACUCAUCAGGGCCAGGGAGGCCACAGAAACUACCUCACGCCAGCUUCCCAGGGGUACAGCGGCUAGAAUGGACCUCGAGGAGGCCCCUCCCAAGACUCCCGUCUCCCGGGUUCCACCGCAGUGGGGGCAGCCACAGCUGCCUCUGCAAUGCUUGUAGGACCCACACACAGUGGGGCACGGAGGGGCAGAGGCCGCAGCCCCUUUGCCAUGAAUCCAAAGAACCUGGAGUGAUUCUGCAGAGACGUUCGAACCAGAGCGACUCCAUCUUGAACAGGGGCUGGGUAAAAUGAGGCCGAGACCGGCUGGGCCGCAUUCCCUGGAGGUCAGGCAUUCUUAGUCACAGGAUGAGAUCAGCACAAGAUACAGAUCACAAAGACCCCGCUGAUAAAACAGGAUGCCGUGAAGAAGCCGGCCCCAAACCACCAAAACCAAGACAGCCAGUCCUCACUGCUCAUUAUGUGCUGAUUAUAAUACAUUAGCAUGAGACACGCCCACCAGCACCAGGACCAUUUACAGUUGCCAUGGCAAUGCCGGGAAGUUACCCUAGAUGGUCUAAAAGGGGGAAGAACCCUCACUUCCGGGAAUUGCCUGCCCCUUUCCCGGAAAAGUCCGGAAUAAUCCACACCAUGUUUAGUACAUAUCAAGAAACAACAAUAAGUGUUCUCGUCGGAGUAGCCCAGGCCGCUGCUCAGCCUAUGGGGCAGCCCUUCUCUUAUUCCUUUACUUUCCUAUUAAACUUGCUUUCAGUUUACUCCGUGGACUCCCCCGAAUUCUUCCUUGUGUGGGGUCCAAGAACCCUCUCUCGGGGUCUGGAUCGGGACCUCCUUUUCCGAUGACAGUCCCUGGGACUUAGUAGCAGUUCAGCAGUGUUUGUUGAAUGAAUAAGCGAGAGACCUGGUUGGGGGGCACUUAGAAAGCAGAGGUUUUGCAACUUUUUAAAACUUUUUAUUUGUAUUUUUGAGACGGAGUCUCACUCUGUCACUCAGGCUGGAGUGCAGUGGUGUGAUCUCAGCUCACUUGGAACCACCAUCUGCCAGUUUCAAGUGAUUCUCCUGCCUCAGCCUCCCAAGUAGCUGGGAUUAUAGGCACCCACCGCCAUGACCGGCUAAUUUUUGUAUUUUUAGUAAAGACAGGGUUUCACCAUGUUGGCCAGGCUGGUCUCCUGACCUCAAGUGAUCCGCCUUCCACAGGUUCCCAAAAUGCUGGGAUUACAGGCGCCCACCACCAUGCCUG
rnacentral:lncRNA from 10 species